rnacentral:rRNA from 1 species
GAUGAACGCUGGCGGCGUGCCUAAUACAUGCAAGUCGAGCGAACAGAUAAGGAGCUUGCUCCUUUGACGUUAGCGGCGGACGGGUGAGUAACACGUGGGUAACCUACCUAUAAGACUGGAAUAACUCCGGGAAACCGGGGCUAAUGCCGGAUAACAUUUAGAACCGCAUGGUUCUAAAGUGAAAGAUGGUUUUACUAUCACUUAUAGAUGGACCCGCGCCGUAUUAGCUAGUUGGUAAGGUAACGGCUUACCAAGGCAACGAUACGUAGCCGACCUGAGAGGGUGAUCGGCCACACUGGAACUGAGACACGGUCCAGACUCCUACGGGAGGCCGCAGUAGGGAAUCUUCCGCAAUGGGCGAAAGCCUGACGGAGCAACGCCGCGUGAGUGAUGAAGGUCUUCGGAUCGUAAAACUCUGUUAUUAGGGAAGAACAAAUGUGUAAGUAACUGUGCACGUCUUGACGGUACCUAAUCAGAAAGCCACGGCUAACUACGUG